GACGAACGCUGGCGGCGUGCUUAACACAUGCAAGUCGAACGGUAAGGCCCUUCGGGGUACACGAGUGGCGAACGGGUGAGUAACACGUGGGUGAUCUGCCCUGCACUUCGGGAUAAGCCUGGGAAACUGGGUCUAAUACCGGAUAGGACCCUGGGAUGCAUGUCCUGGGGUGGAAAGCUUUUGCGGUGUGGGAUGGGCCCGCGGCCUAUCAGCUUGUUGGUGGGGCGAUGGCCUACCAAGGCGACGACGAGUAGCCGGCCUGGGAGGGCGACCGGCCACACGGGGACUGAGAUACGGCCCAGACUCCUACGGGAGGCAGCAGUGGGGAAGAUUGCACAAUGGGCGAAAGCCUGAUGCAGCGACGCCGCGUGGGGGAUGACGGCCUUCGGGUUGUAAACCUCUUUCAGCACCGACGAAGCGCAAGUGACGGUAGGUGCAGAAGAAGGACCGGCCAACUACGUGCCAGCCGCCGCGGUAA
rnacentral:rRNA from 1 species